UUAAGUUCUCUUUCCAUAAGGAGCAUCGAGGAGUGUGAGCACCUGCUGCUGAAAGACAAAGGCUUUAAGCCAGAAAACACACAGCGCUCAGGCCCGAGGCUGCACCUGUUCUCCUCGGUGUGGAUUAAAAGGUGGCCCGAACAGCUGGGCAGAGAAGCAAACCGCUCUGAUCCAGACAAGCACCUGGACACGUCAUGACAAACCACAGCAACAGCAAGAACAAAGGGUGGUGCAGGUUGGACUGAAACUACCGGUCCAGAUGUGCAGGUUUGAAACUGUUGGCAGUGCUGUUGUGCUGAUUCUUGUUUCUCUUCAUCAAUGACACUGGAUAUUUUUGCCAGUCACUAACCUGCUGCUGAAUGACCGAACUUUGAGUUAGGGAUGCACCAACCCGACAAAUCCGCUCAAUGCCGAUCUGAUACAUUUUCUCCUGUAUCCAAAAACCUGUAAACCUGUGUGUGACAACCUCACAACGUCACAUCGAAGUUUCCUGCCCAACCUGAUAUCC